AAAGCGUUACAAAGUCUUUCUCGGUAUGGCACCUGUUACUUUUGUAGCAACAUUUAGCAGUGGGACUCCACUACAUUCCGAAAUGAGUCCGGUCAAUAAAAAAUAGGAAUGUUAUAUGCCUGUUCAUUGCCAUCUGAUUCUGAAAUAUAGGCCGAUAUUGUCAAAUAUAUGUGUCUGAGUGAGAAUGGUCUUGGAGGAGGGGGUAAAACUGUUCCAAAGCAGUAGUUGACCUACUGAGGAGAUCAGCUGAGGGAACAUGAUAACAAAGAAGAAAAUUCCAACCAUUCAUUUUCACACAGCUUUCCCCUCUCCCUUUGACAUCAUGACAAAACUCCCUUUCUUGUAGUGAGGCACUGCACUGCAAAGCAGAUGCAAAUAAGGCUGCAAAGUUCAUUGAAGAUCAUUGCAGAUGCCACAAGCUCCAGAAAGUAGACAUUUGAUGCUACUGCUGACAGGGGUGUAUGGAGUGUACACAAGGGUGUAUUUGUUAUGAACAUGCAAAAAUGUUCAUCAUGGGUAAUGUGAGAAAAGCAUUUGCUACUUCAAAACAUGUAUCAGACUACAACUGAGGACCUCACUAUUAUGAUACAGUAAAGAGAAACCUUGUGGAACACCAUACUUUUA